AAAGUUCAAGGGGGCCGAAUACAUUCGCAAGGCACUGUAAUUACCGAUUUCUGAGUCUGGUACCUCUAAUGAAAUUAUCCUCUGCAGCAGAGGUAACUCUGAGUCUUUCUUUCAUGUGGCGGUCCUCAAGAGUGCCAGUUUCAUCAUAGCACUCAAUGGUUUUUGUGAUUGCACUUUCCGGACUGACUGACCUUCAUGUCUUAAAGUCAUGAUGGACUGUCGUUUCUCUUUGCUUAUUUGAGCUGUUCUUGGCAUAAUACUUGGUAUUUUACCAAAUAGGACUGUCUUCUGUAUAGCAACCCUCAAAGUUGCCAGGAUGUCACACGUCCUACUUUUACCAAUACACUCCUAACAACCAACUCGUUACGAAAUGUAUAUAUGAUCAAAUAAGCCAGAAGACAGAUUUUGGGCCCAGUUAUCCCUCUUGCUUCUCCACUUCUUCACUGUUUGAUAGGAAAUGACUGGUAUAUGAAAUAUGGUGGAAACUAGCGCAUGCCUCCACCAGCCAAUGCUCUUAGAUUUGCGGGUCGUUUUGAACGAGUGAACAUUAAAGGAACAACAGAUAUUCGAGGGAUGCACCCAAAUCCGAGGUAUAGACUCAUUUUAAAUUCCUUAUAUUAAGCAAAGCAGACAGUACCAUUUUCUUAUUUUUUUAAUUUACAGAUAGUCAGGGGCUCAAUCCAACACUCAGACAUCAUUUACAAACAAAGCAUUUGUGUUUAGUCAGUCCACCAGAUCGGAGGCAGUAGGGAUGACCAGGCAUGUUCUCUUGAUAAAUAUGUGAAUUGGACAAUUUUCCUGUCCUGCUAAGCAUUCAAAAUGUAAUGAGUACUUUUGGGUGUCAGGAAAAUGUAUGGAGUAAAAAGUACAUUAUAUUCUUUAGCAAUGUAGUGAAGUAAAAGUUGUCAAAAAUAUGAAUAGUAAAGUACAGAUACACAAGAAAACGACUUAUGUAGUGCUUUAAGUAUUUUUACUUCAGUACUUCACACCACUGGUAACCAAAUAACUAGGGCUUUACAUGCACACUAAUCAUUUCCUAUUAAACUGAUUAUGGCAUUAGUCAUGUAAACAUCUUACACUGCUGAUCUUAAUUGGUGUAAGGUCAUAACUGAAGUAAGGAUACACCUUUAAAAACACCUGGUUUUCUGAACAAUCUUUAGAAUGAUUAGGACAUGUAAACACUUUAAUCAGAGUUAUAGAGGUGUAUUUAAUCUGUGUAUGUGCUAACACAAGCAGCGUCAGCUAACUUCUUUUGACUGAGUUCAGGAAAAACUAAAAGUAAACAGUUUAGAAAUUGUUUUCACAAACAAACUUUUUUUCUCCAAACUCAGAAUUAAAUAUGCUUAAAAAGAAUGACAUGGUUGGUGUGGUGGUACGUUUGAUCCUCGACCCAGUCAGCAGUGAGGAUACAGGCAGAAACUCCUGUACAGUAGAAGGCUACAAUAAUCUCAAUUUUCCUGUGUUGUCUGUGGGGGAACAAUCGUCUUUGAAGGAAGCAGCUGUAGGAAUCAUAGUGUAUGUUCUGAUUCUCAUCCUCUGGCUUUAUGUGGUUCAGGGAGAAGGCCUCCAAAUCCACCUCUGACAGAAGAGACACAGCAGAGAAUGGACUUGUGAGUCUGUUGGAAUCAGCUGACUGACAACGCGAGACGCUAGUCCAAUUUAUGUCAACGGCUCAGGCAUGGCCAUGACCCCUUCUGCAGCACAGACAGCAGACACAGAUGAUCAGGAUGAUGUUCACAACAGUAUUCACCACAGAAACCAGGAAGUGCCUCUAUAUUCCACCGUCCAACUGCCUCAAACCCAGAAAUAGGUUGGGUUCUUCUAUGUGUGUAUUGGCAGUUUUUAAAAUAAAUUAAAAAGGUGCAAACUGCC